AAAAAGUUUUAUUUUAACUUAAAAAUUAAAUAUUAUUUUUAAUUAUAUGUAAAUUAUUUUUUAGAAGAAAUGGCAGUAAUUAUAUUUAUAUAUUAAAGAAAUUUAGAUUUAGAAAUAAUAAUAAAUAUUAACAAAAUUUGUGCCAGCAGUUGCGGUUAUACAAAUAAUGUAAUUUAAUUAUAUUGAUAAAAAUUAAUUUAUUUAAAAAUUUAAAAUUAAAAUUUAUUAAGUAAAAUUUUAAAUUUUAAUUAUAUUUAUUUUAUUAAAUGAAGUUUAGAAUAUUAAAAAUUAAACUAGGAUUAGAUACCCUAUUAUUUUAAUUGUAAUAAAAAUUAUUAAAUUAGUAUUAGAAUUGUUCUUGAAAAUUAAAAAUUUUGGCGGUAUUUUAGUCUUUUCAGAGGAACCUGUUCUAUAAAUGAUAAUCCACGAUUUAAUUUACUUUUAUUAUUAUUUUGUAUAUCAUCGUAAUUAGAUAUUUUAUUAGAAUUAUAAUAUUUAAAAUUUUAUAUUUAAAAAUUAAUCAGAUCAAGAUGCAGUUUAUAUAAAAGAAGAAAUGGGUUACAUUAAAAAUAUUUUUGGAUAAUUUUUAUUAUUAAAAAUUUAAAUUUGGAUUUGAAAGUAAAUUUAAUUAAUUAAUUAAAUUGAUUUUAGCUCUAAAAUAUGUACAUAUCGCCCGUCGCUUUCAUUUAAUAUGAAAUAAGUCGUAACAAAGUAGAUUAACUGGAAAGUGAAUCUAGAAUAUC
rnacentral:ncRNA from 1 species